CGGACGGGUGAGUAACGCGUGGGUAACCUGCCUCAUACAGGGGGAUAACAGUUAGAAAUGACUGCUAAUACCGCAUAAGACCACAGCACCGCAUGGUGCAGGGGUAAAGACUCCGGUGGUAUGAGAUGGACCCGCGUCUGAUUAGGUAGUUGGUGGGGUAACGGCCUACCAAGCCGACGAUCAGUAGCCGACCUGAGAGGGUGACCGGCCACAUUGGGACUGAGACACGGCCCAA
rnacentral:rRNA from 1 species